GACGAACGCUGGCGGCGUGCUUAACACAUGCAAGUCGAGCGGUAAGGCCCUUUCGGGGGUACACGAGCGGCGAACGGGUGAGUAACACGUGGGUGACCUGCCCUCAGCUCUGGGAUAAGCCCGGGAAACUGGGUCUAAUACCGGAUAUGACUCCAUGACGCAUGUUGUGGGGUGGAAAGCCUUGUGCGGCUGAGGAUGGGCCCGCGGCCUAUCAGCUUGUUGGUGGGGUGAUGGCCACCAAGGCGACGACGGGUAGCCGGCCUGAGAGGGCGACCGGCCGACACUGGGACUGAGAUACGGCCCAGACUCCUACGGGAGGCAGCAGUGGGGAAUCUUGCGCAAUGGGCGAAAGCCUGACGCAGCGACGCCGCGUGAGGGAUG
rnacentral:rRNA from 1 species